UACGAAGGGGGCUAGCGUUGUUCGGAUUAACUGGGCGUAAAGCGCGCGUAGGCGGGUUUUUAAGUCAGGGGUGAAAUCCCAAGGCUCAACCUUGGAACUGCCUUUGAUACUGGAAAUCUUGAGUCCGGGAGAGGUGAGUGGAACUGCGAGUGUAGAGGUGAAAUUCGUAGAUAUUCGCAAGAACACCAGUGGCGAAGGCGGGCUCACUGGCCCGGUACUGACGCUGAGGUGCGAAAGCGUGGGGAGCAAACAGG
rnacentral:rRNA from 1 species